ACAGAUGGACGGUGUACUGCCCUACCUUUUUGCGCUGAAUCAGCAACAGCCAGGAGGCGGAGGCGGAGGGGGAGCUAUGAGCAACCCUUUCCUGCGGGCGAUUAUAUUCAGCUCCCUCAUGUAACCAAUCAGCGGCGGGGGAAGCCAUUUUGAAUGUUCUGCGUUACAACUAAGGUUAUAUCAACUCCACAAACGCUGUUUAUAUGGGCAACCUUCACCCUCCCUGUCGUCUCUAGAAACAGCUCCAUACUGUAAGGUGUACAGUGUGUAUGGCUUUGAGUGCUCAUGGUUGAGUGGAUCCUUGUGUUUGGCCACCACUGAACAUUACGAACGACGCCUUAAAAUUUGUAGAGUCCAAAGGAUGACAUGUAAACCAUUGAUUCCGGGAAUUCCAGAAUUUUAUAAAUAUUUCUGAAACGCUGUAGGAGAAAAGAAUAAUUACUGUUUCAAGGUUACAGAGGUGGAAAGAUUAGAUUUGAGAAAUUAAAGGGGGAAAAAAACCCAAUCAUUUCGUGACUUCCUUAUAAGAACUAUUUAAUUAGUGCGUUUUGUAUUUAUAGGUGGUUUUUAUAAAAGCCAUUUCCGUUUUUGAAAACAAGUUUCGUCUUUGUUAAUAUUAUGUUAAACAAAUUCCCUUUGAAUGAAUUAUGUCUGCUCCAGA